ensembl:snoRNA
GCUGCCUUUGAGCCCUCGCCUCUGUGCAUGGUACCGACACCAGGAGUCAGGCUGCAGUGCCAGAUCACAUGCUUGGGCGUAACCGGGGUCGCUGGGCCCGCAGCAUCGCCCUUUUAACCAGGACUGCUGAGGGG